rnacentral:rRNA from 1 species
AUUGAACGCUGGCGGCAGGCCUAACACAUGCAAGUCGAGCGGAGCGGAGGACGGGUGAGUAAUGCCUAGGAAUCUGCCUGGUCGUGGGGGAUAAAGUCCGGAACCGGGCGCUAAUACCGCAUACUAUCAGAAGAGCCUAGGUCGGAUUAGAUAGUUGGUGGGGUAAAGGACUACCAAGGCCACGAUCCGUAACUGGUCUGGGAGGAUGAUCAGGAAGACUGGAACUGAGACACGGUCCAGACUCCUACGGGAGGCAGCAGUGGGGAAUAUUGGACAAUGGGCGAAAGCCUGAGCCAGCCAUGCCGCGUGUGUGAAGAAGGUCUUCGGAUUGUAAAGCACUUGAAGUUGGGAGGCGUUACCAACAGAAUAAGCACCGGCUAACUCCGUGCCAGCAGCCGCGGUAAUAC